rnacentral:rRNA from 1 species
UACGUAGGUGACAAGCGUUGUCCGGAUUUACUGGGCGUAAAGAGCACGCAGGCGGUCGUUCAAGUCGAGUGUGAAAGCCCCCGGCUCAACUGGGGAGGGUCAUUCGAUACUGAUCGACUCGAAGGCAGGAGAGGGAAGUGGAAUUCCCGGUGUAGUGGUGAAAUGCGUAGAUAUCGGGAGGAACACCAGUGGCGAAGGCGACUUCCUGGCCUGUUCUUGACGCUGAGGCGCGAAAGCUAGGGGAGCAAACGGG